ACCGGCAGCUCAAGUGGUGGCCAUUAUUAUUGGGCCUAAAGCGUUCGUAGCCGGUUUGAUAAGUCUCUGGUGAAAUCCCGCAGCUUAACUGUGGGACUUGCUGGAGAUACUAUCAGACUUGAGGUCGGGAGAGGUUAGGGGUACUCCCAGGGUAGGGGUGAAAUCCGAUAAGCCCGGGAGGAACACCUGUGGCGCAGGCGCCUAACUGGAAAGUACCUGACGGUGAGUAACGAAAGCCAGGGGCGCGAACGG
rnacentral:rRNA from 1 species